CCCGCUGAACUUAAGCAUAUCAAUAAGCGGAGGAAAAGAAAUUAACAAGGAUUCCCCUAGUAACUGCGAGUGAAGCGGGAAGAGCUCAAAUUUGAAAUCUGGCGGCUUCGCCGUCCGAGUUGUAUUCUGGAGAAGCGUUUUCCGUGCUGGACCGUGUACAAGUCCCUUGGAACAGGGCGUCGUAGAGGGUGAGAAUCCCGUCUUUGACACGGACUGCCAGUGCUCUGUGAUGCGCUCUCGAAGAGUCGAGUUGUUUGGGAAUGCAGCUCAAAAUGGGUGGUAAAUUCCAUCUAAAGCUAAAUAUUGGCGAGAGACCGAUAGCGAACAAGUACCGUGAGGGAAAGAUGAAAAGCACUUUGGAAAGAGAGUGAAACAGUACGUGAAAUUGUUGAAAGGGAAACGCUUGAAGUCAGUCGCGUCUGCCGGAACUCAGCCCUGCUUCUGCUUGGCGCACUUUCCGGUCCGACGGGCCAGCAUCGGUUUCGUGGGGCGGACACUGGCGGGGGGAAGGUGGUGGCUCCGGCCGCGUUAUAGCCCUCUGUCGCAAACGUCUCGUGGGACCGAGGAAUCCGGCGCAAGCCUGGGAUGCUGGCGUAAUGGCUUUAAACGACCCGUCUUGAAACACGG
rnacentral:rRNA from 1 species